AGAAAGAUCCCAAGUGUAUUGAAAAGUCAGAAAUAAAUGCGAAGAAUCGUCGUGGCGGUAGGAGUGGAGUCUCCACCGGGACUCACACAGGCAGCUCUGUGUCCGUUGGGAAGUAUCGCAAGAGACUUACUGUUGAAAAGGGUCAAGACCCAACACCAAGUGAGUUACAUUUGUACGUCCAUACACAUGGGCAUGAUGGAAAUCUUUUCUUGAUGAGAAAGCUCGAAUCGUGCAUGAAAGGUAUCAGGAAAUAUUACAGGAACAAACACAAACUCAAUCUGAUAUUGAUCAAUGAAAAGCGUAUUACGAAGCCGCGGGAGGGGAAAAGAAGAGAAGAGUAUAUGGUCUUGAAUCUCAAGCAAAAUGCUACUAUGGACCGAAUCUUCGUGGCUCUUCUGGAUCAGAUGCUUCAUCAUCAAUACCACCUUCGAGUGCUCAAUCAGCAUCGAACCUGGAUGAGUUAGUGAUGCAUUUGAUUCUUGCACUAACAGAGCACAUAGUUCUUGUGUUAACUGAUCAUAUGCUUCCAGUAUUGACUGAGCGAGUGCGUGAAAUGAUUUCGUCAUCCUCACUGACUUCUACUGACCACCCAUCAGAUGUGGUACAACAGUUCAUGCUCCUCCUACUGCUACUGUUCAUGGGGUUCAUCCAUCGGUUUCAGAUGAUGACCUUAACCCCUAAGCCUCGUAUUUGGAAGCUUUUUGUUUUGAACUUUAUUAUUGGUGUUAGGGAUAAUUCGCACCUUUUUGGUUUGGAAGCUUUUUGUUUUGAACUUUAUUGUUGGUGUUAGGGAUACUUCGCACCUUUUUGGUUUGAACUUUAUUAUUGGUGUUAGGUAUAAUUCGAACUUAAUUGUAUUAGCUAUAUGCAUUUUGAUAUCAUUUUGGACCUUGA